CAGUAUAAAUAACCUGAUUGUUCCAUUCUUUGAAAAAACACACACCGAAUACCAUCAAGGACCGUUUUCCUGAACACGGUUAAGCAAACAACAAUUCCAUAGCUUGAGCUGGAAUGUGUCAGAACAUCCUUCUACACUAGAAGAGGAGCAGGAAAACAUCAUUGUCCAUGGAGGGAUUUCUUCAGCAAAGAGACGUGUCAGAUUUUCAGCCCUUUUGGCUUUUAGGAUCUGACACCCCAUUCUCUCAAUGCACCCCUUUCUCUCAAGUCACAUCAUGUUAAAGCACGAUUACGGAGAAACAGAGGAUCCCAGCACAGAAGAGUUAAGAAGUAAUAUGCGGUUGAAUGCCAGCCAUUAAGUUGUAGCCCGUGGACGUACAGACAUAAAAUAUUCCUUUGGUAUUGUAAAGAUCUUUGAAUAGG
rnacentral:lncRNA from 1 species